rnacentral:rRNA from 1 species
AGAGUUUGAUCCUGGCUCAGAGCGAACGCUGGCGGCGUGCUUAACACAUGCAAGUCGAACGCGCAGCAUUCUGUAGCAAUACAGGAUGUGGGCGCGUGGCGAACGGGUGCGUAACACGUGGAUAACCUUCCUUCAGGUGGGGAAUAACCCAGCGAAAGUUGGGCUAAUACCGCAUCACAUUACGAGGGCACAUGCUCUUGUACUCAAAGCCGCAAGGCGCCAGAAGAGGGAUCCGCGGCCGAUUAGCUAGUUGGCGAGGUAAUGGCUCACCAAGGCAAUGAUCGGUAGCCGGACUGAGAGGUUGGCCGGCCACACUGGAACUGAGACACGGUCCAGACUCCUACGGGAGGCAGCAGUGGGGAAUCUUGCGCAAUGGGCGAAAGCCUGACGCAGCAACGCCGCGUGGGGGAUGAAGCUUCUCGGAGUGUAAACCCCUUUCGACCCGGAAGAAUGUCCGCAAGGACUUGACGGUACGGGUAUAAGAAGCCCCGGCUAACUACGUGCCAGCAGCCGCGGUAAUACGUAGGGGGCCAGCGUUGCUCGGAAUUACUGGGCGUAAAGGGUCCGUAGGCGGUGUGGCAAGUCGGGAGUGAAAUCUCUGGGCUUAACUCAGAGGCUGCUUCCGAAACUGCCGUGCUAGAGUGUGAGAGAGGCGAGUGGAAUUGCGGGUGUAGCGGUGAAAUGCGUAGAUAUCCGCAGGAACAUCCGAGGCGAAAGCGGCUCGCUGGAUCACAACUGACGCUGAGGGACGAAAGCUAGGGGAGCAAACAGGAUUAGAUACCCUGGUAGUCCUAGCCCUAAACCAUCAGACUUGGGGUUUGCCCUGUACGGGGCAAGUCCCGUAGCUAACGCGUUAAGUCCUGCGCCUGGGGAGUACGGUCGCAAGACUGAAACUCAAAGGAAUUGACGGGGGCCCGCACAAGCGUGGAACAUGUGUUCAAUUCGACGCACGCGAAGAACCUUACCUGGGCUUGAACCGCACAGGACCAUCUUUGGAAACAGAGACUUCCCGCAAG